rnacentral:rRNA from 1 species
GUACACGCUGUGACUAGCAUAUCAAUAAGCGGAGGAAAAGAAACUAACAAGGAUUCCCCUAGUAACGGCGAGUGAAGCGGGAAGAGCUCAAAUUUGAAAUCUUAAAGGGUUUCCCUUUACGAAUUGUAGUUUAAAGAAGUGUUUUCUGUUGAGGUUUUGGUAAAAGUUCUUUGGAAUAGGACAUCAUAGAGGGUGAGAAUCCCGUAUUUGACCUUUACUUUCAACUUUGUGAUACACUUUCAAAGAGUCGGAUUGUUUGGGAAUGCAGUCCAAAAUGGGUGGUAAAUUUCAUCUAAAGCUAAAUAUUGGCGAGAGACCGAUAGCGAACAAGUACCGUGAGGGAAAGAUGAAAAGAACUUUGAAAAGAGAGUUAAACAGUACGUGAAAUUGUCAAAAGGGAAGCGUUUGACACCAGUGUUGUUUUUCUGAAAAUCAAUUAAAGAACUGUUUAUGCUAAGUUGUUUAGACUUUAUCAGCUAUCUGUUUAGUUUUGAGCUUUUCUUUAAUGCACUUUUCAGUUAACAAGUCAACAUCAAUUUCUUUUGCUGUAAAAAAGCUUGAGGAAGGUGGCUUGAGAUUCGUCUUAAGUGUUUAUAGCCUCUUGCCUAUGCAGUCGGAGAGAUUGAGGUCUGCAGCGUAGAUCCUUCGGGGCUAAAUGCAUUUGUGCUAAGUUAUAGCAUUUUAUAGACAACUUGUUGACUAUGAUUUGUCUUGUAGCUUACUCGCUUAUGUUAUUUUACCUACGCUUAGGAUGUUGACGCGCGUGUGUGCGU